GGGACGAACGCUGGCGGCGUGCCUAACACAUGCAAGUGGAGCGACGAACCAGGCUUCGGCCUGGGGCAAAGCCGCGAACGGGUGAGUAACACGUGGGUAACCUGCCCCGAUGAUUGGAACAACCCGAGGAAACUCGGGCUAAUACCGAAUGUGCCCUCCGACCAUAAGGUCGCUGGGGAAAGGAAGCUUCGGCCUUCGCAUCGGGAUGGGCCCGCGGCCCAUUAGCUUGUUGGUGAGGUAACGGCUCACCAAGGCAACGAUGGGUAGCUGGUCUGAGAGGACGAUCAGCCACACUGGGACUGAGACACGGCCCAGACUCCUACGGGAGGCAGCAGUGGGGAAUCUUGCGCAAUGCGCGAAAGCGUGACGCAGCAACGCCGCGUGGGGAAGACGGCCUUCGGGUUGUAACCCCUUUCAGUUGGGACGAAGCUCUGCCGGUGAAUAGCCGGUUGGAGUGACGGUACCUUCAGAAGAAGCCCCGGCUAACUACGUGCCAGCAGCCGCGGUAA
rnacentral:rRNA from 1 species